rnacentral:lncRNA from 1 species
ACCCUGGGCCGCCUCAGCUGAGCGCGCGGACUUACCCACCCAGCCACGGAGCCGGCCCCUUCAUUUAUUCUUAACUGUCAUUUUCUCUCUCUCAGCCUACACCAAAUUUGAAACAAAGAGCUACAAGAGAAAUUUCUUGGAGGUUUCCAGACUGGACUUUCCUCUCCAAGAAAUCAGGAGCUGAUCUGUCCGGGUUGCCGGAGCUGGGAGAGCCCAGAGGGAAACCGAGGGACACGAGCGGCGUGGUGCACUAGAGAGAGCGCGAGCGGCAGAGGCGAGAGCGGAGCGCGCGAGGGA